CCGAGUUUACAACUCCCAAACCCCUGUGAACAUACCUAUACGUUGCCUCGGCGGAUCAGCCCGCGCCCCGUAAAAAGGGACGGCCCGCCCGAGGACCCCUAAACUCUGUUUUUAGUGGAACUUCUAAGUAAAACAAACAAAUAAAUCA
rnacentral:misc_RNA from 1 species